GAUCAUGGCUCAGGAUGAACGCUGGCGGCAUGCCUAAUACAUGCAAGUCGAACGGAGCGAAUAUGGAAGCUUGCUUCCGUAAGAGCUCAGUGGCGAACGGGUGAGUAACACGUAGGUAACCUGCCCAUGUGCCCGGGAUAACUGCUGGAAACGGUAGCUAAAACCGGAUAGGUGAAUAGGAGGCAUCUCUUAUUCAUUAAAGGACCUGCAAAGGUGCGAACAUGGAUGG
rnacentral:rRNA from 1 species